AUUUAUCUAUUUGACAGAACUGAGUAGUUACUGUCUGCUCUAAGUAUUCACUACAGAUACAAGAAAAAAGUGUCCUUGUAUGUUCUGUCUGAUUAUGGCCGCCAAGAUUGAAUAGGGGAAAACAUGG
rnacentral:snoRNA from 1 species